rnacentral:rRNA from 1 species
CAGCAGCCGCGGUAAUACGUAGGGUGCAAGCGUUAAUCGGAAUUACUGGGCGUAAAGCGUGCGCAGGCGGUUAUAUAAGACAGAUGUGAAAUCCCCGGGCUCAACCUGGGAACUGCAUUUGUGACUGUAUAGCUAGAGUACGGCAGAGGGGGAUGGAAUUCCGCGUGUAGCAGUGAAAUGCGUAGAUAUGCGGAGGAACACCGAUGGCGAAGGCAAUCCCCUGGGACUGUACUGACGCUCAUGCACGAAAGCGUGGGGAGCAAACAGGAUUAGAUACCCCCGUAGUCCCUGUCUCUUUACA